rnacentral:rRNA from 1 species
GAUGAACGCUGGCGGCGUGCCUAAUACAUGCAAGUCGAGCGAACAGAUUAGGAGCUUGCUCCUCUGACGUUAGCGGCGGACGGGUGAGUAACACGUGGAUAACCUACCUAUAAAACUGGGAUAACUUCGGGAAACCGGAGCUAAUACCGGAUAAUAUAUUGAACCGCAUGGUUCAAUAGUGAAAGACGGUUUUGCUGUCACUUAUAGAUGGAUCCGCGCCGCAUUAGCUAGUUGGUAAGGUAACGGCUUACCAAGGCAACGAUGCGUAGCCGACCUGAGAGGGUGAUCGGCCACACUGGAACUGAGACACGGUCCAGACUCCUACGGGAGGCAGCAGUAGGGAAUCUUCCGCAAUGGGCGAAGGCCUGACGGAGCAACGCCGCGUGAGUGAUGAAGGUCUUCGGAUCGUAAAACUCUGUUAUUAGGGAAGAACAAAUGUGUAAGUAACUAUGCACGUCUUGACGGUACCUAAUCAGAAAGCCAGGGCUAACUACGUG